rnacentral:lncRNA from 1 species
GCAUACUAGGGAUGUCAAUGGAUAUGAAUAUCCGAAAGAUUGUUGGAACCCGAAUCAGAACGAGACGAGUUUACCCGAGCUUAACGGGUAUGAAUUCGCUUAUGGGUAUAGAAAAUAAAAGUCCGAUGGAUAUGGAUACGAGUAUGGAUUUCGUAUUUACCCGAUCCGAACCCGAACCCGACCCGAACCCGAAUAAAUUAUAUAUAUACAUACUUUAUUUUUAUUUAUUUAUAUAAUAUAUAAAAUAUUUAAUAAUUUUAUCCCUAGAUCUUCAUUCAACGGUAUGGAUUUUUAAAAUCCGCCGGUUUCGGAUCUGAGUAUGGGUUUUAAUUUGGUUUUCGGGUUGAGGUUCGGAUUUUUAAAAACCUGAUCCAAAUUCGACUCUUUGACAUCUCUGCAGCACACCGUCGUUUCGAAUUGUGCUACUAUCCAAAUCCUCACUUCUACGAUCGGUGCCGCCACCGUUGGCGGCAGCGGAUAUGUGGGUGAGAUAGCGUAAAGAGUGUGGCGAUGACAUGCGAAUAAUAAAAAAAGAGAAAGAAGAGAAAAGGGAAAGAAGAAGAAAACGAUCAAAAAAAAAAAUCAAAUAUUAAAAAAAAUCAAUCUGAAAAUGUAAAAUGAAAAAAAAAGAGGAUCGGAUUUUGUAAAAAAACAUAAAACUAAUAAUAAUAGAUUUUGUAUGAAAAAAAAAAAAAAAA